GAUGAACGCUAGCUACAGGCUUAACACAUGCAAGUCGAGGGGCAGCAUGGUCUUAGCUUGCUAAGGCCGAUGGCGACCGGCGCACGGGUGAGUAACACGUAUCCAACCUGCCGUCUACUCUUGGACAGCCUUCUGAAAGGAAGAUUAAUACAAGAUGGCAUCAUGAGUCCGCAUGUUCACAUUGAAUUAAAGGUAUUCCGGUAGACGAUGGGGAUGCGUUCCAUUUAGAUUAGGUAGGCGGGGUAACGGCCCACCUAGUCUUCGAU
rnacentral:rRNA from 1 species